rnacentral:rRNA from 1 species
UAAAGAAUUUCGGUAUGGGAUGGGGAUGCGUUCCAUUAGUUAGUUGGCGGGGUAACGGCCCACCAAGACAACGAUGGAUAGGGGUUCUGAGAGGAAGGUCCCCCACAUUGGAACUGAGACACGGUCCAAACUCCUACGGGAGGCAGCAGUGAGGAAUAUUGGUCAAUGGACGAGAGUCUGAACCAGCCAAGUAGCGUGAAGGAUGACUGCCCUAUGGGUUGUAAACUUCUUUUAUAUGGGAAUAAAACGUUCCACGUGUGGGAUUUUGUAUGUACCAUAUGAAUAAGGAUCGGCUAACUCCGUGCCAGCAGCCGCGGUAAUACGGAGGAUCCGAGCGUUAUCCGGAUUUAUUGGGUUUAAAGGGAGCGUAGGUGGAUUGUUAAGUCAGUUGUGAAAGUUUGCGGCUCAACCGUAAAAUUGCAGUUGAAACUGGCAGUCUUGAGUACAGUAGAGGUGGGCGGAAUUCGUGGUGUAGCGGUGAAAUGCUUAGAUAUCACGAAGAACUCCGAUUGCGAAGGCAGUUCACUGGACUGCAACUGACACUGAGGCUCGAAAGUGUGGGUAUCAAACAGGAUUAGAUACCCUGGUAGUCCACACAGUAAACGAUGAAUACUCGCUGUUUGCGAUAUACAGCAAGC